UAUACUUACAGAUACCUAAUAACAGGAGCACCCUAGGUAGGGCAACAUGGAGAAGGGUGAGUCAAGAGAAAGAAGGAGUGAGGGGGGAUCGUGGACAAGAACCUUUAUUGAGAAGGGAAAGGCAGAGUAAGCAGGUUUAGGAUUGGCUAGUUUGAAUAAUUCCAGCAGGAUCUGGGGCAUAGGGGCUGUCUCUAGUCAUCUGGUAUCCUGUCAUGGCCUAGGGUGAUUAGGACAGUGGGAUAGUGGGUCUGCAUAUAAGAGCCAGAUAAAGGAGGUGGUAGAAGUGUGGGCUUUGGAUUGGCUGGUUUGCGUAUGAAAGAUAGGCUCCCAGGCAAGUUGCUAUCUCUAGGAAUUUCAUAACCCUGGGAGGGGCAGUUCCUUUCAACGUCAGCUAGACUCCAAGAUGUUGAAGAAUCAGAAUAAAAAGACAUACUUAAUACACUUCUUACAUCAUUUUUAUUGUUGGGUCUACUUUUGCUGAAGCUGCCUGCGACUGUCCUUGGUCUUUUCCCCCGUGACCUCCCUGGUUCCUGAGAUCUGAGCAGUAUAAGCUUCUCCAGAUGCUUGAGGGACAGGGUUGCACCAUCUUGGCCUUGUGAUCUACCUGCCUCCACCUCCGAAAGUGCUGGGAUUACAGGUACCAAAAAGGAUGAACAAAGACAUUCUGACAUUACAACAGGCUGGAUUUGCUACGAGGUAUACAAAUGAAGAAGGCUUGGAGAAAGAAUUAGCGGGGAUUCGCAUCUAGAUAAAGCAAGUUAUCACUGUCUGCAUAACCUUGAAUGAAUCACAGACCUUUCUCUAGCUCAUUCAUUAAAGCUUUGUUUAAUUCAACAAAUAUUUAUCACAUGACAGGCGCCUGCCCUAAGCACUGGGGCUUCAUUCAUUUAUUCAUUCAACAAAUAUUUAUUAAAUCUCUACUAUGUGCCAAGCACUGAUCACGGGGUUGGGAUACAGCCAUGAAUA